CUGUCGCGCGCCGUAUCGAGGGCUCGUACGGUUGGGCUCCCCAUUUCCGUUCCAUUCUCUUUCCACCAUGCCGUUUCCUCUCUCUUGCUCUCCUAAUAAAUUCGAGAGCGGAUAAGGGCAAGAAAAUAAAAGAAUUAACGAUUUAAAGGAUAAAAGUGGAGCAGAAGCCAAGCGAUUCUCUUCGGUUCUUCUUCGAAUCCAUGGAUUUUGGUGCCGUUGGACUUGGGGAAUGCUUGCAUGGAGUCAACAAAAGAACAAGACUAAUGCCUGUUAGCCUCUCUUUCCUUGGGGGUGGUUGAGUAUUAGCUUGAUUGUAUUGCAAUAAUGUUUAGAUCUUGAUUGGCUCCCACUUAAGGAUCAUUGAUGCCAUUGAGUAGUGAGGGUGCUAUCUGGAAAUUUCUUGAGGAAGUGCCUAUUUUACUCUUUGAUAGGCGACUGGAUCAUGUUUGGAGGCUAUGGAGAAUUAGAAAAUAAUGAUCUGGAGUUACAUAAGGGUCCAUUAAACAAAGAUUCCGAGGGCAAUAUAAGGGUAAGGGCUUAGCAACUUCUUCUUUUCUCUUCUACAUGGAUACCCUAUGGUUCUUUCCUGUUCCACUGGUCUUUCUUUAGUUGAGUUGGUCAACAUAUUUCCUAUUUUUUAUUUGGAAAGAGGUUUGUUAGUCAAUGCUUUGGGUCUCUGUCAAAGAUAAUUGAGUUUUUGAUCUCUACUGGGUUGUUAAUGGCUAAUUAGUGAUUAGUAAAAUUGAAUUUCUCUCCUUAUUAGAGAGUUUGAUUGGUGUGUCUCCGAACUCUACAUUGGUGGUAAGAUUGUUAUGAACCUCUAUGGGGUGAAUGCCUUAUCUGAGAAUUUCAAGUAGUUUAAAGGUUAGACUCUUUCUAAUUGUUUUCCAUCGAAAAAUUAGAAGUUGACGUCACCAAUUAUUUGCUGCCUUUCUGAGUCCAUUAACUUUGUGGAAUUUUGCUGCGAUCUGUCAAGGUCUAAAGAACUUUCUGUUUAGAAAUUUUUCCAGGACAACUAUGAAUCAACAUUUUAAAAGUUUUUACUCCUUGUUAAGUGCCUGGCGUUAUAUGAGAUUAUAUUUGUUUUAAACUAUCUGUCAGCGGUAUGCAGUAUGAAAAAUCUAAUACAAUUUUAAUAUAAGUGGAACAGCGACAUAAUUUAUUAUUUUGGUGUAUGUUUUAUCUCACUUUGAACUUUAACCAAUAAUCCUGUAGAAACUAUAUGGUUCUAAUAAGUUUUUGAGAGAAAUACCAUCAUAACUUUUUCUGAGCCUUCAUAUGGACAGACUACAAUGUGGGGGAAAAAGUUAGAUCUAUUGUAUUUUGUUAGCUUAUGUGACAUUGUGUGUCUGGUUCCAUGUGAAAACUGAAAUGGAUGACACGACUGAUUCUCUUUGUUGUAGUGGCUGCCGAUUAUCUCUCUACUUGUUGGAAAAAAUCUUCUUUUUUGUUUUUACUAGAAUUGGGAUGUUUUAAACCUCUAUAGUGUCAUCUUUGUCCCUGCUGCAUUGGCAUUGCAAACCAAAUUUUAACCUAUAUAUGUUUUGCUUUUUUGUUAAAUGAAAUUUAUUGCAAGCAGUUAGUCAAAAUUCUAAGUUAUUUUAAGUUACAGGCAUUCAUGUAUGCAUUGGCCUGCACAAAUGAAAUUUCCCGUUGCCGUUCACCAUCUAGCAUCUCUUUCAGCUUUUACCCUUCAUGUAUAUGUUUGACAUUAUGACAUUAUAUACUUGGUAGUUCAAUGACAUAAUCUAACAUUAAUUUGAUUUUGCAUGUUAGUAUGUGUGAAUGCGGGACAGGGGAUUUAAGGAAGAAGAUAUGAAUAGAAAGGGAAGGGGAGGGAAGAUCUGGAAUCCACCAGAUGUUACACAAUGUUUUCAUUCCAAAAUACUCUGAUUAAAACAGGAGAAAUGGGGGUUCCAUAUAUAGCCCCCAUGCAACUACUCAUGAUCCCACAAGUGAUCAUGUAACUACCCAUCGAUCCAACAACAUCAUGGUUCUCUACAAUAGCUAAACACAGUCAUAACAAGCCAGCAACUGACAUAAAGGACGAAAAAUACAUUAUAAAUAAACGAAAAUACAUAAGAAAAUAACACUAAGGCGGCCAAAGUGCUAUGCCCGCCGGCGACACAUAUACAUAUGCUGGAAUCGGUGGUCCUUGUGUCCCCACCAACUUUUCUCAGCUGAGAAG